rnacentral:ncRNA from 2 species
CGCGUCUUGACGGGGUGCUGGCGUCAGAACAUGUGACAGCUGGCUGAGAUUGCAUUGCAGAACCCGCAACCUGAUCCGGAUAAUACCGGCGUAGGGAUCCAAGAUAGUUUACUGC